GCCUCAAAUCCAGGAGGACUACCCCCCUAAACUAAAGAAAUAAAAAGCCGAAGAAA
rnacentral:rRNA from 1 species